AUCAAAUGGCUGAUUAAAGCAUUAACUUCUUAAGUUAAUUAUAGAUUUAUUUCUUUUGAUGG
rnacentral:tRNA from 1 species